rnacentral:rRNA from 1 species
GAGUGGCGGACGGGUGAGUAACGCGUAGGAAUCUACCCAGUAGUGGGGGAUAGCCCGGGGAAACUCGGAUUAAUACCGCAUACGCCCUACGGGGGAAAGGCCGGGAUCUUCGGACCGGUCGCUAUUGGAUGAGCCUGCGUUGGAUUAGCUAGUUGGUAGGGUAAAGGCCUACCAAGGCGACGAUCCAUAGCUGGUCUGAGAGGAUGAUCAGCCACACUGGAACUGAGACACGGUCCAGAC